rnacentral:lncRNA from 1 species
AGUGGAAACUGAAAAGCCCUCUGACAUCAGGUCACCAAGCAACCAAGAGUUCAGCGAUUGGCAGCGCAAGGAGAAGGGAAACGUCAAUUCCAAUUCGCCACCCAGUAGAAAAGGACACACCGAUAGAAUUGUGAAUCCAUGGAGGUGGAAGGAUCGUCGAAGAAGAUGAUAGCAACACAGGAAGAAAUGGUGGAGGCUAAGGUUCCUCUGGGGUACAGAGACCAGUGUGCGCACCUCUUGAUCCCUCUCAACAAGUGCAGGCACGCCGAGUUCUACCUUCCAUGGAAGUGCGAGGCCGAGCGCCACGUCUACGAGAAGUGUGAGUACGAGCUCGUUAUGGAGAGGAUGCUUAAGAUGCAAAAGAUCCAAGAAGAAGAAG